UUUUGUGUCCAGUCUGAUCAGAAUGGAUCCUAUGCAAAAUAAUGAAGGUCCUUCACCGUUUGAAGACUUGACAAACACCACCAAUCUAGGUGACAAGACAACAUCAAAUUCACAAGCGCAAGUUGAUGAACGUGUGCAACGUAAAAGGGAAAGAGAAAAAGCACGACAUGCAUCAAUGACUCAAACAGAAAGGGAUGAAAAAAAUAAAAAAAAUUAGGGAAAAGUAUUAUAAAAAAAGACAGAAACUGAAAUAUCUACCGCCUCAAUAGGUCCACCACAAACAAUUUUUAACAACCAAACAUAGAAUAAAUAUUUGUUCUCAUAUAGUUACUUUAUCUUUAAUUAUUAUGUAAAUAGGUGUUGGGGUUGAAUCUAACAAGGAAAACACAGAUGCCAUGAGUCUAAAAAGGGAAAGGGUAAAGGCGCGAUAUAUGGCGAUGACUCAGGAAGAAAGAAAUGAAAAAAAUAGAAAGCGUCGUGAACGAUAUCAUCAGAAAAAAUUAGUUGGAUUUCAAACAACCACAGAGAGCACUGAUGGCUAUGAAGAUAGUGACUGGCUACAUCAAAACGACUCAUACAAUCCCAUGCAGAUUGAUAAAGAUAACACAUGUACCAUUUUGAUU